CCAAACUGGAAAAAUAGGACCAUGCUGGCUGCUCACUCUUCUAUCUCCAAACUUUCUGAAAUGUUUUAUCUGACAAACAUGUAUUGCAUUUCUACAUGUGUCAGCCACUGGGAUGAGAGAAACUGAGAAGACGUUUAUGGAUCAAGAGAACUUGUACUCAAGGAGUUUCAUCAGUGACCAGACCUGAUGCAGAUCUCGGAAUAACUGACUGUCAGCCUGGAACCAUAAAUAGAGAACAAAACUGGGAACUGCUCUAGUCACAUGACUUUUUCGAGAUCAAUCACCCAGCUUAUCCACGGAGAGGUAGAUCCAGAGCCAGAUCUCUGCUUUUACUGAUCUUCCCCUCAUACUCUAAGGCUGUGUUGGUGUGUAUUUAAGGGAAAGCAACAGUCAAGCCCAUGGAGUGACCAGUUGGAAGUGAGCUUCCUGAGGCGAGGGCAGAGGUCAACUCCGUUUUGCUGACCAUGAUGUCCCCAGCGCCCGGCACAAGAAGAUACUACAGAGUGUGCCCUGAAGAUCUUCCCAGUCAUUUGCACCCAUGGAGCUCUCUCCUAUGGUGAAUUUACGCCAUCUAUGGUGGUUUCCACAAUGCCUAUCACAGAGCCGUGUGCCUUGGAGUCACCCCGCAAAUGCCCGAUCCUUGAACAAUGUCCAUGCUGUCCUUAGCAUGCCAUCGGCUACCCUCUGCUGUCUCUCCCAGUAAAGAUUCAAACA